rnacentral:rRNA from 1 species
GACGAACGCUGGCGGCGUGCUUAACACAUGCAAGUCGAACGGUAAGGCCCUUCGGGGUACACGAGUGGCGAACGGGUGAGUAACACGUGGGUAAUCUGCCCUGCACUUCAGGAUAAGCCUGGGAAACUGGGUCUAAUAUCGGAUAUUCAGUUCCUGCCUCAUGGUGGGGGUUGGAAAGUUUUUCGGUGCAGGAUGAGCCCGCGCCCUAUCACCUUGUUGGUGGGGUAAGGGCCUACCAAGGCCACCACCGCUAGCCGGUCUUAGAUGGUGAUCGGGCACACUGGGACUGAGACACGGCCCAGACUCCUAUCUCAGGAAGCAUUGGGGAAUAUUGCAUAUUGCGCGUAAGCCUGAUCCAGAAACACCCACCGCUGGAUGACGGUUUACGGAUUGUGAACCCCUUUCAUUUUGCACUAAGCGUAAGUGACAAUUUCUGCUUAUGAACCACCAGUCGACGUGCUGCCCGUAGCCUCAGUAAGACUUUAUAGUGUGAGGGCUUUACUCUCAUUGCUGAGGUUUUUGGCGUUUUUAAGUGCGGUUUGUCGCGUCGUCCGUGAAAACUCGGAGCUUAACUCCGAGCUUGCGGGCGAUACGGGCAGACUUGAGUACUACAGGGGAGGCUGGAAUUCCUGGUGUAGCGGUGAAAUGCGCAGAUAUCAGGAGGAACACCGGUGGCGAAGGCGGGUCUCUGGGUAGUAACUGACGCUGAGGAGCGAAAGCAUGGGUAGCGAACAGGAUUAGAUACCCUGGUAGUCCAUGCCGUAAACGGUGGGCGCUAGGUGUGGGGUCCUUCCACGGAUUCCGUGCCGUAGCUAACGCAUUAAGCGCCCCGCCUGGGGAGUACGGCCGCAAGGCUAAAACUCAAAGGAAUUGACGGGGGCCCGCACAAGCGGCGGAGCAUGUGGAUUAAUUCGAUGCAACGCGAAGAACCUUACCUAGGCUUGACAUAUACAGGACGACGGCAGAGAUGUCGUUUCCCUUGUGGCUUGUAUACAGGUGGUGCAUGGUUGUCGUCAGCUCGUGUCGUGAGAUGUUGGGUUAAGUCCCGCAACGAGCGCAACCCCUGUCUCAUGUUGCCAGCACGUUAUGGUGGGGACUCGUGAGAGACUGCCGGGGUCAACUCGGAGGAAGGUGGGGAUGACGUCAAAUCAUCAUGCCCCUUAUGUCUAGGGCUUCACACAUGCUACAAUGGCUAGUACAGAGGGCUGCGAUACCGUGAGGUGGAGCGAAUCCCUUAAAGCUGGUCUCAGUUCGGAUUGGGGUCUGCAACUCGACCCCAUGAAGUCGGAGUCGCUAGUAAUCGCAGAUCAGCAACGCUGCGGUGAAUACGUUCCCGGGCCU